rnacentral:rRNA from 1 species
AGAGUUUGAUCCUGGCUCAGGAUGAACGCUAGCGGCAGGCUUAACACAUGCAAGUCGAGGGGCAGCGGGGAGGAAGCUUGCUUUCUCCGCCGGCGACCGGCGCACGGGUGAGUAACACGUAUGCAACCUGCCCCUGUCAGGGGGACAACCCGCCGAAAGGCGGGCUAAACCCGCGUACAUGCCACCGGGGCAUCCCGGAGGCAGGAAAGGCUUCGGCCGGACAGGGAUGGGCAUGCGGCGCAUUAGGCAGUAGGCGGGGUAACGGCCCACCUAACCGACGAUGCGUAGGGGUUCUGAGAGGAAGGUCCCCCACACUGGUACUGAGACACGGACCAGACUCCUACGGGAGGCAGCAGUGAGGAAUAUUGGUCAAUGGUCGGGAGACUGAACCAGCCAAGUCGCGUGAGGGAGGAAGGUACAGAGUAUCGUAAACCUCUUUUGUCAGGGAACAAAGGCGGGGACGUGUCCCCGGAUGAGUGUACCUGAAGAAAAAGCAUCGGCUAACUCCGUGCCAGCAGCCGCGGUAAUACGGAGGAUGCGAGCGUUAUCCGGAUUUAUUGGGUUUAAAGGGUGCGCAGGCGGUCUGUUAAGUCAGCGGUCAAAGCCCGGGCCUCAACCCCGGCCCGCCGUUGAAACUGGCAGUCUCGAGUUGGAGAGAAGUAUGCGGAAUGCGCGGUGUAGCGGUGAAAUGCAUAGAUAUCGCGCAGAACUCCGAUUGCGAAGGCAGCAUGCCGGCUCCACACUGACGCUGAGGCACGAAAGCGUGGGUAUCGAACAGGAUUAGAUACCCUGGUAGUCCACGCAGUAAACGAUGAAUGCUGGCUGUCCGGGGGGACUGACCCCUGGGUGGCGAAGCGAAAGCGAUAAGCAUUCCACCUGGGGAGUACGCCGGCAACGGUGAAACUCAAAGGAAUUGGCGGGGGUCCGCACAAGCGGAGGAACAUGUGGUUUAAUUCGAUGAUACGCGAGGAACCUUACCCGGGCUCAAACGGGGAGUGGCGCAGGCAGAGACGCCUGUUUCCCACGGGACACUCCCCGAGGUGCUGCAUGGUUGUCGUCAGCUCGUGCCGUGAGGUGUCGGCUUAAGUGCCAUAACGAGCGCAACCCCCGCGUGCAGUUGCUAACAGUCAACGCUGAGUACUCUGCACGGACUGCCGGCGCAAGCCGCGAGGAAGGCGGGGAUGACGUCAAAUCAGCACGGCCCUUACGUCCGGGGCGACACACGUGUUACAAUGGGUGGUACAGCGGGAAGCCAGGCGGCGACGCCGAGCGGAACCCGAAAUCCACUCUCAGUUCGGAUCGGAGUCUGCAACCCGACUCCGUGAAGCUGGAUUCGCUAGUAAUCGCGCAUCAGCCAUGGCGCGGUGAAUACGUUCCCGGGCCUUGCACACACCGCCCGUCA